AACCCUAAUUUUCCUUUCUCCUCCGUUGCCUUCAACUCCCAGUUCGCCAGGUAGUCGUGUAGCAGCCAGCAGGAGCUCCUGAUGUGGCCAAGACGACCACAGUGGUAGCACAUCUUGGUCCCAAUCCCAUUUGUUCCUCCUAUGCUUCCUCUAUGUCCUCCGAUCAUUGCAAGCACCUUGUUCAGAGAGUGGGCAGGCUCGUGGCUUAGUAUCAGAAAUUGGGACCUCAUCGUGUUGAAUUCGGACCCCAAUCCCAUCAGAAAUUGAUGGGUCUUCUCUCACUCUCUCUAUGCCGUAUACCUACUGGCUGCCGAGCACGUGCACGUCGGUAUCUCCAGGUAAUUGUCUAGCUCAUCCUAAAGAGUGUUCAGUCGUGAAUAGUAUUUUGGAACCCAUAUGCCUUCCUGUUUCAAUCUUCCUAUCUCGGCCUGUAACUGAUAUAUUGUUGUCUCGUUCCGCUGCGAGUACCUUUCACGGAGAUCCUCCUACAAAGUCUGUGCCACCGUUGCAGAGGCCACAUUGGAUUGAAACUCAGGAUCCAGCGUAUUAAAUAUCCACGAUAUUACCAAGGCAUUAAACAUAUACCACUGUGCCCGGUUGGGGUCGCCCUCUGGUGGUCUUGGCACCGAUCCAUCCACCAUUCCAACCUUGUUCUUGGUGGUCAAGGCUGUCAUCAUGGCUCUGGACCGUGCAAGAUGACUGACCAAUGAUUCUUCACCUUUCUCCAUCCCUACCAAUACUCGCAAACGACAACAACAAGUCUAGACAAGGCUUUGAAAAUAUGCAUUGAUUCGGGUUUGAAGAGAUAGGCCGUAAUUAUGUGGAUUGAAUCAAUUUGGAGUUCCAAUUCUUGAAGAUUAGGCCCAAGAGCCCAUUUGGAUUAAGCCCAUACUUGAAGAGCUCAUGAUGGAAAUCUAUCAUGGUGAAUAUAUGGAUGUAUGGACGUGACUUUUGAUUAGUGGGCGGUGGGCAAUAUUUCUUUGGUAGCCGAAUAUUAUUCUUGGAGAGCAAGCACGCGAUAUUCUCGUGUUAUCUAGCCUUAUCUUUGAUUUUAGGAAGUCAAAUAAGUUGGAUAUUUCUUCGAUAUGGCUUGAUAUUUUAUCUUUUAGGCAAUUUAGGUAAGCUAGUUAGUUAUUUCCUAUUUGAAUAAUAUCUCGAUUUCGAUAUUAUAGGGAUAUCCAUUUAGAGAGAUUCUCUAGGAUUUCAUUGUAACGCCUAUAUAUAUGCGUCUUCGAGUUCAUUGUAAUUCUCCGUACAUCGAUCAAUAAAACCCGUACUUUUCAUUCUA